GAUCAUGGCUCAGGAUGAACGCUAGCUACAGGCUUAACACAUGCAAGUCGAGGGGCAGCAUGAACUUAGCUUGCUAAGUUUGAUGGCGACCGGCGCACGGGUGAGUAACACGUAUCCAACCUUCCCGUUACUCUGGGAUAGCCUUUCGAAAGAAAGAUUAAUACCGGAUAGUAUCGAGAGAUUGCAUGACAACCCGAUAAAGUAUUUAGUCGGUAACGGAGUGGGAGUGUCGUUCCUAUUAG
rnacentral:rRNA from 1 species